GAUGAACGCUGGCGGCGUGCCUAAUACAUGCAAGUCGAGCGAACGGACGAGAAGCUUGCUUCUCUGAUGUUAGCGGCGGACGGGUGAGUAACACGUGGAUAACCUACCUAUAAGACUGGGAUAACUUCGGGAAACCGGAGCUAAUACCGGAUAAUAUUUUGAACCGCAUGGUUCAAAAGUGAAAGACGGUCUUGCUGUCACUUAUAGAUGGAUCCGCGCUGCAUUAGCUAGUUGGUAAGGUAACGGCUUACCAAGGCAACGAUGCAUAGGCGACCUGAGAGGGUGAUCGGCCACACUGGAACUGAGACACGGUCCAGACUCCUACGGGAGGCAGCAGUAGGGAAUCUUCCGCAAUGGGCGAAAUCCUGACGGAGCAACGCCGCGUGAGUGAUGAAGGUCUUCGGAUCGUAAAACUCUGUUAUUAGGGAAGAACAUAUGUGUAAGUAACUGUGCACAUCUUGACGGUACCUAAUCAGAAAGCCACGGCUAACUACGUG
rnacentral:rRNA from 1 species